ACUCCUACGGGAGGCAGCAGUGGGGAAUAUUGCACAAUGGGCGCUAAGCCUGAUGCAGCCAUGCCGCGUGUAUGAAGAAGGCCUUCGGGUUGUAAAGUACUUUCAGCAGUGAGGAAGGUGGGUAUGUUAAUAGCAUACUCAUUUGACGUUAGCUGCAGAAGAAGCACCGGCUAACUCCGUGCCAGCAGCCGCGGUAAUACGGAGGGUGCGAGCGUUAAUCGGAAUUACUGGGCGUAAAGCGCAUGCAGGUGGUUUGUUAAGUCAGAUGUGAAAGCCCGGGGCUCAACCUCGGAAUUGCAUUUGAAACUGGCAAACUAGAGUACUGUAGAGGGGGUAGAAUUUCAGGUGUAGCGGUGAAAUGCGUAGAGAUCUGAAGGAAUACCGGUGGCGAAGGCGGCCCCCUGGACAGAUACUGACACUCAGAUGCGAAAGCGUGGGGAGCAAACAGGAUUAGAUACCCUGGUAG
rnacentral:rRNA from 1 species